AGAGUUUGAUCCUGGCUCAGGAUGAACGCUAGCGACAGGCUUAACACAUGCAAGUCGAGGGGCAGCGAGGGAGUGGCAACACUUCUGUCGGCGACCGGCGCACGGGUGAGUAACGCGUAUGCAACCUGCCCUUCACAGGGGGAUAACCGGGAGAAAUUCCGACUAAUACCGCAUACGUCCUUUGGGGGCAUCCCCGGGGGAUGAAAGAAUUAUCGGUGAAGGAUGGGCAUGCGUGAUAUUAGGUAGUUGGCGGGGCAACGGCCCACCAAGCCCACGAUAUCUAGGGGUUCUGAGAGGAAGGUCCCCCACAUUGGUACUGAGACACGGACCAAACUCCUACGGGAGGCAGCAGUGAGGAAUAUUGGUCAAUGGACGAGAGUCUGAACCAGCCAAGUCGCGUGAAGGAAGACGGAUCUAUGGUUUGUAAACUUCUUUAGUGCGGGAACAAAGCGGCGUCGAGACGCCUGAUGAGUGUACCGCAAGAAUAAGCAUCGGCUAACUCCGUGCCAGCAGCCGCGGUAAUACGGAGGAUGCGAGCGUUAUCCGGAUUUAUUGGGUUUAAAGGGAGCGCAGGCUGCGAGGCAAGUCAGCGGUCAAAUGUCGGGGCUCAACCCCGGCCUGCCGUUGAAACUGUCCUGCUAGAGUUCGAGUGAGGUAUGCGGAAUGCGUUGUGUAGCGGUGAAAUGCAUAGAUAUGACGCAGAACUCCGAUUGCGAAGGCAGCAUACCAACUCGCGACUGACGCUGAGGCUCGAAAGCGUGGGUAUCGAACAGGAUUAGAUACCCUGGUAGUCCACGCAGUAAACGAUGAAUACUAACUGUUCGGAGGGCGACCUCUGAGUGGUAAAGCGAAAGCGUUAAGUAUUCCACCUGGGGAGUACGCCGGCAACGGUGAAACUCAAAGGAAUUGACGGGGGCCCGCACAAGCGGAGGAACAUGUG
rnacentral:rRNA from 1 species